rnacentral:lncRNA from 1 species
AAAGUAUAAAGGUUAUUUGGGAGAAGGAAAAAUUAUUUCUCAAUAUUAACUCCAUAGACAAAAGCCCAAUUUUCAUAAUAAGCUAGGAGAAAUCGAUAAUGUUUUAAAAAUAAAAAGUGAACUGCUUACACUCACCAAUCUAUACCCAGUAUUAAUUCUAUCCUGCAGUGUAUGCUAUAGAAGGUAAUAAAACGCUGAUGUUUCCUAGUUUCUCGUUUCAAUCUGCUCCAGCUUUCUCUUCAACCUGGUUAGCAACAGAAGUCACCCCCAGCAAUUACACAAACCUAACAACGGCUUCCCUGGGAUAAUUUGAUCCGCUCCAACCACACAUUCCAAUCCACAUACUUUCUUCCGUUACGGUUGUUGUCUGUGUGUGUUUAACAUGCUUCUUGAAAGGCUUUUUUAAAAUAUCGAGCCAAGGAUUUCUCAUCCAGCUCGCUACCACAUCAACAGAACCAGAAUAUGAUUUAGUUCAGCUUCAGAUGACAGUACAGCAAAGUAUUACUGUCAUUUCACAUUUCUCCUCCUUCUGUGCUCUUAACUGCUGUGCACCUGGGUCGCUAAAGGACUGCCUAUCAUGAGCUGAGCCCUCCCAGCUGUGGACCCUGGGGGGUGGGAAAUCUUGAAACCUGCCUGACUCAAGGGCUCUCAGCCGUUGCUUUGUCACCAACAGCCUGUUUUAACCUGCUCCUAUUGGACCUUUAUCACUUUCCUGACCCCACAAAACAAACCUGGCUGGCAAAUGCAGUGAACAGCCUCCUUGAAAAUGCAGCUUGACUGUGAUUCAUGGCCAAAAGCUGGAAUAACCCUGCCAGGCCAGAGAAAAAUCGCAGCUUCAUUGUCUGAAGGAAGAGGACUCAGGAAAAUGCAACUACACCUGAAGCAAGAUCUUUUAUGGCUUGGCAAUCCCAACCUUGCCGGUGUGAAAGGACCGACCUACCUCUGGAACCCGGAGGGCAACUGUGGCAGCAAAAUCCCAAAGUGUUGCUGCCUAUGGUGACUGUGCUAGAACUGAAACUUCUCAGGAAGCCAGGCUGUUAAAAUUGUGAUGCCCUGUACUCAACAAUACCAUGGAUUAUCUAGUCCAAAGUGGAAAGCAAGCCCUUACGGUAAUGUCAUUUGCAUCCUCAACACCCAGAACGCCCUGUUUCUCUUUCCCUGAAUAAAACUACAUUCAAAUCCCA